rnacentral:rRNA from 1 species
UACGAAGGGGGCUAGCGUUGCUCGGAAUCACUGGGCGUAAAGCGCACGUAGGCGGACUCUUAAGUCGGUGGUGAAAUCCUGGAGCUCAACUCCAGAACUGCCUUCGAUACUGAGAGUCUCGAGUCCGAGAGAGGUGAGUGGAACUGCGAGUGUAGAGGUGAAAUUCGUAGAUAUUCGCAAGAACACCAGUGGCGAAGGCGGCUCACUGGCUCGGUACUGACGCUGAGGUGCGAAAGCGUGGGGAGCAAAAGGG